ACUCCUACGGGAGGCAGCAGUAGGGAUAUCUUCCGCAAUGGGCGAAAGCCUGACGGAGCAACGCCGCGUGAGCGAAGAAGGCCUUCGGGUCGUAAAGCUCUGUUGUCAGGGAAGAACAAGUACCGGAGUAACUGCCGUACCUNGACGUACUGAACCACAAAGCACCGNCUAUUCG
rnacentral:rRNA from 1 species